rnacentral:rRNA from 1 species
CACGGGGGAGCAAGCGUUGUUCGGAAUCACUGGGCGUAAAGGGAGUCUAGGCGGUCAGGUAAGUGGGAUGUGAAAUCCCUCGGCUCACCCGAGGACCUGCAUCUCAUACUGCCUGGCUUGAGUAUGGGAGAGGAUGAGGAAUUCCUGGUGUAGCGGUGAAAUGCGUAGAUAUAGGAAGGAACACCAGUGGCGAAGGCGACCACCUGGACUGAUACUGACACUGAGGUGCGAAAGCGUGGGAGCAAACAGG